UGGCGGCGCACAAGUCAGGUCCGGCACAUGUUUCCGCGGAAAGGACCCCGCAAUGACGGAUGAUAUCACCUCUUCUUCUCUGUUGAGAGUCUGAGGAUAGAAACUUUUUUCUCACCAUGAAUGUCACCCCAGAGGUCAAGAGUCGUGGGAUGAAGUUUGCUGAGGAGCAGCUGCUAAAGCAUGGAUGGACUCAAGGCAAAGGCCUCGGCCGGAAGGAGAAUGGUAUCACCCAGGCUCUCAGGGUGACACUGAAGCAAGACACUCAUGGGGUGGGACAUGACCCUGCCAAGGAGUUCACAAACCACUGGUGGAAUGAGCUCUUCAACAAGACUGCGGCCAACUUGGUAGUGGAAACUGGGCAGGAUGGAGUACAGAUAAGGAGCCUUUCUAAGGAGACCACCCGUUAUAAUCAUCCCAAGCCCAACCUGCUGUAUCAGAAGUUUGUGAAGAUGGCUACAUUGACUUCAGGUGGAGAGAAGCCAAACAAAGACUUGGAGAGCUGCAGUGAUGACGACAACCAGGGGCCCAAGUCCCCAAAGAUGUGAGACUUCAUUUUAGCUCUUGGGGAAUGUGGGAGGAGAUGUCCUCAGAUGGCAAGAGAAAGGGCUAAAUCUAAUGCUUGACUGGGGGCUUC
rnacentral:sRNA from 1 species